AGAGUAGAGAGGAUGAUAUAUUUUAGGGCCAACUAUAUAUAAAUCUCCUAAACUAUUGUAUUGCCCAUGUUUCAAUAGUUGUAAUACAUUUACAAACUAAUAUAAAAAUGACAAACUCUACAUAAACCAUUGACACCGUCCACAUAAAUUUGUCCUCGUCAACACAAAACAUGCACUUGUUAGGCUGAAAAUUAACAUUUGUACUCACAGAAGGAUUGACGAAAUAGUUUAAUUGUUCGUUUGAAAGUGCUUCUAAAAAUAAUUGAAAAUGUUUUUGGUGUAAUUAAUUUUGGGUUUUAAAAGCAUUUAAGUGUUUUUUUAAAGAAGCAUCAAAUAUGUACUUUUUGCAGGAAGCACUUAAUUGUUUUUCCAAAAUACGUACACUUGAAUUUUUAAUAAAGAUUAAUUUAAAAAUUAUUUUCAAUUAUUUUAAAAUUACUUCUAAACGAGUUGUAAAUCUAGGGUUUACAGUGGAUGAGUUUGUAAACUGUAUUACUAUAGGCAAUAGUUUAGGGGUUUUAUAUGUUAUUUGAUCCCAUAUUUCACUUUUGCAUAAAUAAACAUAAACAAAUGGGAAAGGGACAAAUUGCAGUUCUUCCUCUUCCUCUUUUAUAUUCGAAACGGCGCCUCACACUUUUCAUCGAUUACAAGAACCACAGAAGGGCUGGUCGCUUUCUCCACCUUUUGCUUUCAUUUCUUGUGACAUAUAAUUUUAGUUUCCUUGCAUUUUAAUUGUUGUUUAUUUAUUUAUUUAUUUUAUGUGCUAACUGUGCCCUUUAUUAGAUAUGAGAAACGGGUCAUUGUGUUUGUAUUAUUUUCAUGUUAUAUUUAUUAUCUUAACGGAUUGUAUUAUGUUAAAUUUUUAUCCUAAUGACUUCUUACAAAUGAUCUAAUGACAACCCAACUCGUUAACGAAUUAUGUCAGAUUAAUGAGUUUUGCAAAAAAUUGUCAUGCCUAAUGUUUAAAUUUUGAAAAUUGUUUACGUAUCAUAACCAUUAUCUUAACGAAUUCUUGACAUGUGACCAGGUAACGAUCUGAAUCGUUAAUCGGUAAUAUGAACGAUCUGACUCGUUAAUAGUUGACCCAAAACUAAUAAUUUUCAUAUCAUUUAUUAUCAGUUCACGGAUCGUAUAAAAAAAUUUCGGAAUUACCCACUAUAUACAAACAAAGUAGCAAGACCCACCCCCAUGUUUGUCCAUGAAAGUGUGUUUUAUUUUCGUUUCUAGUAAUUUUAUUUCAUUAAUGCCAUGCGGACGCACACAGUUCGUUCACUCUCAUUGUCUGCAAACUCGGACUUUACAUGUGGCAGAUUCUACCAAUUCUAAGCUCUCAGCCUAAGGACAUUAAUAUGGCGUCCUUCAAUGGAGCUCUGAUAAAUGCAUGGGUUUAUUUAUUACGUUGAAAAAUUACGUUGUCAUUUUUUAAUACGAUUGAUAUUCCUAUUCUAAAUUAAAUUAAAUGAAAAAAAUGUUUAAAUUCGAAACGUAGUGUAAGUUUUCAUCUAGGGUGAAUAACAUUUCUCCCACAAGUACGAUAAUUUGCUAAUUAAGAACAAUUUUCAUGUGUGUUUGGUAUAUUAUAACCACAGAUUUAAAUAUCGAUAUUAUCGGCGAUAUUUCGCCGAUAAUAUCGAUUUUUCCGGUCGGCGAUAUUUUAACUGGUUUCCGUGGGGUUUUCGGCCAAAUAUCGCGAUAUUAUCGAUAAUAUCGAUAAUAUCGCGAUAUUUGGAAAUUAUCGGCGAAAUAUCCAUGGACGGUGGAAUCGGAAUCCGAGGCGACGUCGGAGAAGAACGCCGGAGACCGUGGGGCGAUUCCCGGGCC
rnacentral:lncRNA from 1 species